rnacentral:lncRNA from 1 species
GUCAGAUGUGGACACAGGUGGCUGUCAGAUCAAUUGAAUACAGAGAUAUGGGGAAAGUCAUUCUAUCUCAGCCAUUUAUAGAUCUCAGUAUGUGGGUUGGGGUGACUUGGGGGACGUCAGAAAUGGAUGUAAUGAAAUAAGUUCACUGGUCAGCCCCUAGACAAAGCUGAGGCGGAACAGCAGGAACAGCAGCCAGGCAAGCUCAGACAAGCCCAGAGAACCUUCAGGAGGCUCAGGAUCUCAGGGGACCUGACUGAAAUCUGAUUCCUCCUCAAGUGCUAGUAGGUCAGUCACAGGGGAAAAUAGAAAGCUUGACUCGUUUUUUUCUUAGGCAGCUGAGUUGACUUUCAGGUUAGCAACAGCGUGGAGCCGUUUCCCUGGUGAAGUCACACUUGAGGUAGCCUCAGUCCCUACCUUCCAGGCAUACUUCAUUCGCCAUUCCUGUUUGUGCACAGUGUGACCCAAAGGGGUCAGCCCUGGAGCAGUCACAGAAAUGCUGGCUUUCCCUUAGGAAUUCCUAGGCUAAUAAAUUCACUUCCCCCAGCUCAGGGUGCUUAUCUGUGAAUGCAGGUGUUACAGCCACCUUGAAACCGUGCAAAGCAGAGACCGAGUACUUGACACAUCAUCACAGCACCCAUCCAGUAAACACAACUGUGGUCAGCAUCCCCAAGAACAGCAAGGGCUGCCCACCUCUGGUCUUACCAUUGCAGCUGCAGGUAAACGUGGGUCUUGGAAGUCCCAUUUCCCAAUUCAUCCCAUGUCAUGUUCCCCACGACUAAAACACUCAGCGUCACUCCAGGGGAACUGUGCAGCACGAAAUAACCACACAAGAGACAGAAAGAGAAAGAGCGAGCUCUUGCUGAACCUUUUAUUGAAGAGAAGCCAUUCAAAUGAGGCCAGGGGUCAGAUUUCAGGGGGCUGAGUCUAGCUUCCUGAUGUUGCUGUCAGCAGGUUGACUGACAUCUAGGAAGGCCACACCCAAAGGCAGAGCAAGAGAAGGGGGAUACACAAAGGCAUUUCCAUGGAAUAUUCUAUCCCAAACAGGACAAAGGGGUAGUAUCACAAAGGAACAGGUGAGUAUAGUUCAAUCCAUGGGAUGACGCCUACGUUUGAAGAUGUGUCCUCAAAUUUCUGGGACCGGGGCAAUGUCCAGGUCACUCAUUACAAGAUAUAGUGAUGGUCAAAAGCCUCUCCGCUCCAGGCCGGAAGACACAGAUCAUUCAGAGUGGCUCCCCACAAUCCCACUGGAUCCAGCCUGUGACACUUGCAUCCAGUGUCUUUGUGGCGAGAACAGCAGUGGGUAUUUUAUCCUCUCUAGAGUCAAGGGAUAGGGAAAGCCCCACAGCUCUGGUUCCUAGGGUCAUUGGAGUAGCCUGGUCUGCCCUGUUGUCCCAGAGCAAUAUUCACAUUGACUGUAUUCACUCUCAGCGUCCCCAAGUGGACUAUAGUCAAUAAGUCACACUCUUGCCCUCCCUGCUUCUACAGGGACUUAGUUGGCAGGAGCCACCACCACUCCUCUUUGUAAGAUUUCUGUGUUGUUUUUGUAUUUAACUUUUCUUUUUCAUGUCAUGAGUUCUCUUUCUUGUGGUGUCUCUCGCUGUUUCCCAUGUGUUUGGUGGUCUUUUGCAGGCUCCUUUGUAUUUUCAAGUGAAAAUUCAGUGGUUUCUAAGGUAGUCACAAAGGAAUGCGACUGCCAGCACUCACAUUCCAGAACAUUCUCAUCUCUCCAGAAAGAAACCCUGUGUCCCUUAGCUGUCAUUCCCUGUUCCACCCCCCACAGUCACUAGCAACAGUUAAUCUGCUUUCUGACUCUCUGGAUUGCCUCUUCUAGAUACUUUGUAUAAAUGGAGUUUUAUAGUAUGUGGCCUCUUGUGACUAGCUUAUUUUCACUAAGCAUAAUGUCCUCGGUGUUCAUCCAUGCUGUAGUGUGUCACUGGUUCAUUCCUUUUUAUGGAUAAAUAAUAUUCCACUAUAUGAAUAGACCAUGUUAUGUUUACCCAUUCAUCCAUUGCAGGACAUUUGGGCUAUUUCCACCUUUUGACUACAGGGACUAGUGCUGCUAUGAACAUUCAUGUACAAGUUUCCAUGUGAACAUAAUGUGUUCAUUUUUCUUGGGCAUAUACUAUCUGGUAGUGAAACAUAUGGGCACUCUGUGUUUCACUUUUUUUUAAUAUUUUUUUUUUAGUUGUAGAUGGACACAAUAUCUUUAUUUCUUUAAUUUUAUGUGGUGCUGAGGAUCAAACCCAGUGCCUCACACAUGUAAGGCAGGCACUCUAGCACCGAGCCUCAGCCCCAGCCCCUGCAUUUCACUUUUUUUCCGCAAUACUGAGAAUGGAACCCAGAGCCUUGUGCAUGCUAGGCAAGUGCUCAACCACUGAACUGCAACCCCGGCCUUUAUUUUCCACUUUUGAACUGCCAGGCAGGUUUCUCCAGUCUGCUAUUUAUAAAUGAGAUGAAGACUUCACAUGCUUAUCAGUCAUGGUAAGCAGUUUACAAUUUUAAUGUCUCCAUCCUAGGCUAGAGAAAUAGCUCAGUGGUAGAGCUCAUGCUUAGUAUGUACAAGGCCCUGAGUUUAAUCCUCAGCACCCCAAGGAAAAGAAGGGAGAAAAGGAAUUCUAGCCUUGUUCCUCAUCCAGCAACCUAGAGGAAGACCCACAGGCAUUGCCAGGUCUUCCGCAGGUCAAGAAGCCUGGAUUCUGGGAGUCUGGACACCUCUUUCUCUUACAGAUGAAGCUGACUUGGAGGUCUGGUGGAAGGACCAGUCACUGUACAUCAGGGACUCAGCCUUAGUGAGGAGCCAUCUGCAAAUCUAGAGACUGACCAGGGCAACAGCACCCUUACAGCAGGGACAGGGACCUAGGAGCAGGCAGCUGGACUGGAUGUGCCCAGGUGGGAGCAGCAGCCAUCUCCCUAGAUCAGCUUUCCCACUCCCAGAGGUAGGGCCCAUGAAUUUGCCAGAGUUUACUUGUAAGAUGGCUGCAAGCUGCAAGAGCCCCUGGGGAAGGAUGAGCACUUAGGAUUCCAGGUUCUGCCCUACCCUGGCAACUUCCACACUCUGUAUCACAAGACCCUCUCAGUCCCUCAGAUAGGAGACCAGAAAGCCAGAUAAAAAACCACAGCCAGUAGCUGGGUGCAGUGGUGCUCGCCUGUAAUCCCAGUGGCUUGGGAGGCUGAGGCAAGAAGGAUCACAAGUUCAACGGCAGCCUCAGCAAAAAGCGAGGUGCUAAGCAACUCAGUGAGACCCUGUCUCUAAAUAAAAUACAAAAUAGGGCUGGAUGUGGCUCAGUGGCUGAGCGCUCCUGAGUUCAGUCCCCGAUAACACCCCCUGGCCCCCGACCAAAAAAAACCCCUGCAGCCCGAGCAUUUCUUGGAGCACUCCACAGGCUCACCUCCAGGUGUUCAGAAUGAAGAACAAGUAGCUGGAUGUAAGCAAAGCCAGAUGUUUUCAGUCCAUUUAAAGCUCAGACAAACUGAUAGGAGCCAAAAGGGCAAAGGCCAGGAACAGAUAACUCACCAAAAACAGGAGUCCACUAACCUGAGCCUGGGUUAGCAAGUGCCAAGGUUGGGGCCCAGGAGUAGGGAUUGGCCAAGGCAAAGGCUUAGUCCAGCACAGGCAGGACCAACCCUCACUUUCCUCAGGGGUGGUGCCCACUUUAAUCAGAAAGACCCUUUGAGGACAUUUACCCACCAUAUUAUAGGGUUCGUGGUCUAACAAUAAAAAUCACUGGUGAAAGGGCUAUCCACAGGAGGGCGUUUCUUCCCAUCUAUAAAAGGUCAUCGUCAAGUGGAGCCUAAUUCAAAGCCCGGGGAUGGGACUGGUUUGGUGAGUCAUGUAGUUUCCACUAGAAACCACAGUGAGGAGGCCUACAACCUGUGGAGUGACAGUGGCUCCCAAACCCUGCGCCAGGCGCAGUCCAGAUGUCCCUCAGCACACACUUGCUCACACACUCUGUCUCUGAAAAGUGGCCAAAAGGGGUGGGGGCUGGGAUCAGCAAACCCUGGAACUUGGGUGUGGAACCUCAAUGCUCCAGUGCACAUGGUAUAAGAGAAAGGAGCAGGGUCCCAAGUAGCACCUGCCCCCUUUGUGGCCUUACUUAUGGCUGCAAAAGGUAAGAAGGGCAGUGGAAGAAGAAAUGGGGGACCAGCUGGUGGGCUCCAAGGGCAGCACACAACAACGGACUGAUGAGAGGUGUAGGGGUCAAGAGAAGAGAGGAAGGGGCUAGAGGGACAGUCUGAAAUUGGCCACUCUGGGGAAGGAA